GACGAACGCUGGCGGCGUGCUUAACACAUGCAAGUCGAGCGAGGCCCUCCUUCGGGGGGUGUCCUAGCGGCGAACGGGUGAGUAACACGUGGGCAACCUGCCCUCAGCUCUGGGAUAACUCCAAGAAAUUGGGGCUAAUACCGGAUAUGACCGCUGACCGCAUGGUCUGGUGGUGGAAAGAUUUAUCGGCUGGGGAUGGGCCCGCGGCCUAUCAGCUUGUUGGUGGGGUAGUGGCCUACCAAGGCGACGACGGGUAGCCGGCCUGAGAGGGUGACCGGCCACACUGGGACUGAGACACGGCCCAGACUCCUACGGGAGGCAGCAGUGGGGAAUAUUGCGCAAUGGGCGGAAGCCUGACGCAGCGACGCCGCGUGGGGGAUGACGGCCUUCGGGUUGUAAACCUCUUUCAGCAGGGACGAAGCGCAAGUGACGGUACCUGCAGAAGAAGCACCGGCCAACUACGUGCCAGCCGCCGGGGUAACAC
rnacentral:rRNA from 1 species